UUUAUUUACAAAAAAAAAAUUAAAGUUAUUAGAUUCGAUAAAAUUUUUUUUUGCAUAAUUUUAAAAUAAAUUUGAGAGAGAAAAAUAGCAUGCUAUCCGACUUUCUUAUUUUUUUAAGAAAUAAACUAAUAUGAAAACGUGAAACAAUUAAGUUUCGAAUCUGGAUCUCGGGUACCAAUCACCAAAUUCUUUACUGUUUGCACUAGAGGUGGUCGGUUUUCAAAGAUAAAAGUUGACGGGUUGUUUCAAAAUGGCAUAUAGUUGAGGGG
rnacentral:lncRNA from 1 species